rnacentral:rRNA from 1 species
AUUGAACGCUGGCGGCAUGCCUUACACAUGCAAGUCGAACGGUAACGCGGGGGCAACCCUGGCGACGAGUGGCGAACGGGUGAGUAAUACAUCGGAACGUACCCAGUAGUGGGGGAGUAGCUCGGCGAAAGCCGGAUUAAUACCGCAUACGACCUAUGGGUGAAAGCGGGGGAUCGCAAGACCUCGCGCUAUUGGAGCGGCCGUAU